ACCUGGCAAUGCUAACUUAUUAAAUGACUAUCUGGCUGCCUACCUGCUUGAAUGAAUGAUAUCUAGCAAUGAUAGCUAACGAUGAUAGCUAUCGAUGGUAUCUAUCGAUGGUAUAUAUCUAUCGAUGAUAUCAAGUGAUGGUAUAUAUCAAAGGUAGAUAGUGAUGAUAUAUUGAUAAUAGCUAGUGAUGAUAGAUAGAUAUAGAUUAUUUCUAUUUACCUCAGUUGUAUGAAGUCUGUAUAUGAUAUCUAGAUAAAACUUACAUCUUUAUAUUGAUGUCUAGAACUAGUAGCCCAUAUGGUGAAGCCAAGCAAAUUAUAGAUAGUAU
rnacentral:sRNA from 2 species